AACAUACUCCCUCCGUCCGAAAAAGCUUGCCCCUCAAAUGGAUGUAUCUAGCAUCAAGUUAGUGCUAGAUACAUCCAUUUGAGAGACAAGCUUGAGACAAGGUUUUUCGGACGGAGGGAGUAACAU
rfam:Triticum aestivum genome assembly, contig: Triticum_aestivum_CS42_TGACv1_scaffold_065331_1DL